rnacentral:lncRNA from 1 species
UCUCAAGUAAAGCAGAAAUAGUAGCCAAAUUGGCUGCACUAUGUGUAAAAGAUGCAUUAUCCAUGAUAGAAGCUACGGGAGGUCAGAAACUGAUUAUCAGUUAAAUGGAACAAAAAAAAAAGAGAGGUCCUGUAAGAUGUUCUCCAUUCCUCCUUUGCUUAUUACCAGGCGAUGACUAAUAAUCACUCUAUGAAAAGUACCAUGGGGAAUAAGUUAUGACUUGUUCACUCAACAAGAUGAAAGACCCUCCCUCCUGAAAAACAGGUAUCACAUAACCAGUUGUCUUUGUUGUAAAUAUGAGAACCAUUCCAAGAACUUUGCCUUUAACAAGAAAGCUGCCUAUGUUCCAGUUGUGGACAAAAAGAAAACAACAUCUUUACUUAAGAAAUUGGUGAAAGGAAACUUAAAGAUAUAUUCUGAAAAAAAGGCAGGAAAGUCCAGAUGGACUUACAUUUUCUAUGAUGAAAGUCAGAUGCUCUUCAUGAGGGAGCAAGAGUACCGCGAAAGUCAACUCAGGGCGCUCUGGUUUCUUCUGUAACUCUCACUACCUCACCCUCACCACCACUGUACUAUUUAGAAAUUUUGAAAGAAAUACCAGACAUUGUGUCAUCUCACCUCUGUGUGUGUGUGUGUGUCUGUAUA